rnacentral:rRNA from 1 species
AUUGAACGCUGGCGGCAGGCCUAACACAUGCAAGUCGAGCGGAUGAAGGGAGCUUGCUCCUGGAUUCAGCGGCAGACGGGUGAGUAAUGCCUAGGAAUCUGCCUGGUAGUGGGGGAUAACGUCCGGAAACGGGCGCUAAUACCGCAUACGUCCUGAGGGAGAAAGUGGGGGAUCUUCGGACCUCACGCUAUCAGAUGAGCCUAGGUCGGAUUAGCUAGUUGGUGGGGUAAAGGCCUACCAAGGCGACGAUCCGUAACUGGUCUGAGAGGAUGAUCAGUCACACUGGAACUGAGACACGGUCCAGACUCCUACGGGAGGCAGCAGUGGGGAAUAUUGGACAAUGCGCGAAAGCCUGAUCCAGCCAUGCCGCGUGUGUGAAGAAGGUCUUCGGAUUGUAAAGCACUUUAAGUUGGGAGGAAGGGCAGUAAGUUAAUACCUUGCUGUUUUGACGUUACCAACAGAAUAAGCACCGGCUAACUUCGUG